rnacentral:rRNA from 1 species
CUCGUAGUUGGAUUCUGUGGAGGAGGCCGGUCCGCAUUUUGUGCGUGUAUCUGGUACGGCCUUUGCAUCCUCUUGUGGAACGCCACGGUGCUUCGUUGCAUUGUGCGGAAUGCAAGACUUUUACUUUGAGGAAAUUAGAGUGUUCACGGCAGGCAUGCGCCUUGAAUAUAUUAGCAUGGAAUAAUAAUAUAGGCUCCUCGCCCUAUUUUGUUGGUUUCUAGAGCGAAGAGAAUGGUUAAUAGGGAUAAUUGGGGGCACUCGUACUACGGUGUCAGAGGUGGAAUUCUUAGAUUACCGUAUGACGAACUACUGCGAAAGCAUUUGCCAAGGAUGUUUUCAUUGAUCAAGAACGAAAGUUUGGGGAUCGAAGAUGAUUAGAUACCAUCGUAGUCCAAACCAUAAACUAUGCCAACUAGGGAUUGGAGGGCGUUCUUAUAUCGACUCCUUCAGCACCUUAUGAGAAAUCAA